CAGAUCUUGUGGACAGAUGGAUCUCCUUAUCUUCUAAAAUACAGUAUCUCAUCUCUGUCAAUGAUACCAGAAAAUCAAACUGACUGCUAUGCCCUUCAGAGAGAUCCCACUGGCCCAGACUAUUUCUUCACAGGAUUUUUCUGCUAUGUACAGCUACCAUAUAUUUGUGAAUAUGAAUUACCUCGGGUACCAGAAAACUUCAUGUUUGAUGUCCGUGAUGUCAAGACAACUGAAGCUGUAUUUGUGUGGAGCAGCAUGGACAUGUGGCUUAAGUCAGGCUUUGCACUUAUACUUAAGUACUAUUUUGAUGGGUGGAAACCAUACAUUCUGAACUUGCCUGUGAAUACAACUCAA